rnacentral:rRNA from 1 species
UACGUAGGGGGCAAGCGUUGUCCGGAAUCAUUGGGCGUAAAGCGCGUGUAGGCGGCCCGGUAAGUCCGCUGUGAAAGUCCAGGGCUCAACCCUGGAAUGCCGGUGGAUACUGUCGGGCUCGAGUCCGGAAGAGGCGAGUGGAAUUCCUGGUGUAGCGGUGAAAUGCGCAGAUAUCAGGAGGAACACCGGUGGCGAAGGCGGCUUUCUGGACAGAAACUGACGCUGAUGCGCGAAAGCUAGGGGAGCAAACAGG